GAUGAACGCUGGCGGCGUGCCUAAUACAUGCAAGUCGAGCGAACGGACGAGAAGCUUGCUUCUCUGAUGUUAGCGGCGGACGGGUGAGUAACACGUGGAUAACCUACCUAUAAGACUGGGAUAACUUCGGGAAACCGGAGCUAAUACCGGAUAAUAUUUUGAACCGCAUGGUUCAAAAGUGAAAGACGGUCUUGCUGUCACUUCUAGAUGGAUCCGCGCUGCAUUAGCUAGUUGGUAAGGUAACGGCUUACCAAGGCAACGAUGCAUAGCCGACCUGCGAGGGGGAUCGGCCACACUGGAACUGAGACACGGUCCAGAGUCCUACGGGAGGCAGCAGUAGGGAAUCUGCCGCAAUGGGCGAAAGCCUGACGGAGCAACGCCGCGUGAGUGAUGAAGGUCUUCGGAUCGUAAUACUCUGUUAUUAGGGAAGAACAUAUGUGUAAGUAACUGUGCACAUCUUGACGGUAACUAAUCAGAAAGCAACGGCUAACUACGUG
rnacentral:rRNA from 1 species